rnacentral:rRNA from 1 species
AGAGUUUGAUCCUGGCUCAGAACGAACGCUGGCGGCAUGGAUUAGGCAUGCAAGUUGAACGAACUCCUUCGGGAGUGAGUAGCGAAAGGGUGAGGAACGCGUGAGUAAUCUGCCCAUAAGUUGGGAACAACAGUUGGAAACGACUGCUAAUACCGAAUGUGGCUAUUGACCCGCAUGGGUUUUUGGCUAAAGAUUUAUCGCUUAUGGAUGAGCUCGCGUCCCAUUAGCUAGUUGGUGAGGUAACGGCCCACCAAGGCUACGAUGGGUAGCUGGUCUGAGAGGAUGGUCAGCCACACUGGGACUGAGACACUGCCCAGACUCCUACGGGAGGCUGCAGUCGAGAAUCUUGGGCAAUGCGCGAAAGCGUGACCCAGCAAUGCCGCGUGCAUGAUGAAGGCCCUCGGGUCGUAAAAUGCUGUCUCCCGUGACGAAUAAUGACGGUAGCGGGGAAGGAAGCCACGGCUAACUACGUGCCAGCAGCCGCGGUAAUACGUAGGUGGCGAGCGUUGUUCGGAUUUAUUGGGCGUAAAGGGUCUGUAGGAGGUUUGUUAAAUACGAGGUGAAAUCCGGGGGCUCAACUUCCGAAUUGCCUUGUAGACUGAUGAACUAGAGUACUGGAGAGGUAAGCGGAAUACCAGGUGUAGCGGUGGAAUGCGUAGAUAUCUGGUAGAACACCAAUAGCGAAGGCAGCUUGCUGGACAGAAACUGACUCUGAAAGACGAAAGCAUGGGGAGCAAACAGGAUUAGAUACCCUGGUAGUCCAUGCCGUAAACGUUGUCAACUUGAUGUGGGCGGAUUUAGUCCUGUCCGUAUCGAAGCUAACGCGAUAAGUUGACCGCCUGGGAACUACGGCCGCAAGGCUAAAACUCAAAGGAAUUGACGGGGGCCCGCACAAGCGGUGGAGCAUGUGGCUUAAUUCGAGGCAACGCGAAGAACCUUACCUGGGCUUGAAAUAUACCGGACCGGCUGUGAAAGCAGUCUUCUCUUCGGAGCUG